rnacentral:rRNA from 1 species
GGAUGAGCCCGCGGCCUAUCAGCUUGUUGGUGAGGUAGUGGCUCACCAAGGCGACGACGGGUAGCCGGCCUGAGAGGGCGACCGGCCACACUGGGACUGAGACACGGCCCAGACUCCUACGGGAGGCAGCAGUGGGGAAUAUUGCACAAUGGGCGAAAGCCUGAUGCAGCGACGCCGCGUGAGGGAUGACGGCCUUCGGGUUGUAAACCUCUUUCAGCAGGGAAGAAGCGAAAGUGACGGUACCUGCAGAAGAAGCGCCGGCUAACUACGUGCCAGCAGCCGCGGUAAUACGUAGGGCGCAAGCGUUGUCCGGAAUUAUUGGGCGUAAAGAGCUCGUAGGCGGUCUGUCGCGUCGGAUGUGAAAGCCCGGGGCUUAACCCCGGGUCUGCAUUCGAUACGGGCAGACUAGAGUGUGGUAGGGGAGAUCGGAAUUCCUGGUGUAGCGGUGAAAUGCGCAGAUAUCAGGAGGAACACCGGUGGCGAAGGCGGAUCUCUGGGCCAUUACUGACGCUGAGGAGCGAAAGCGUGGGGAGCGAACAGGAUUAGAUACCCUGGUAGUCCACGCCGUAAACGGUGGGAACUAGGUGUUGGCGACAUUCCACGUCGUCGGUGCCGCAGCUAACGCAUUAAGUUCCCCGC